GCGGAUGGCCGGAUGACCGCGUGCGCAACAGGGUCCGCAAGGAAACCGGGGCGUGCGAGGAAAGUCCGGACUCCAUGAAGCAAUGGUGCCGGGUAACGCCCGGCCGGGGUAACCCGAGGGAAAGCGCCACAGAAAAGAAACCGCCUGCGGACAAGGGGUUACACCUACGCCUCGCAGGCAAGGGUGAAACGGUGGGGUAAGAGCCCACCGCGGACCUGGCAACAGGGACGGCACGGCAAGCCCCACCAGGAGCAAUGCCGAAUAGGGGCCUCGCGCGGGGCAGGCCGGGCAACCGGCCGCCGCAGGGACGCUUCAACCCGAGAGGCCCGGGUUGGCAGCUAGAUCCCCUUCGCAAGAGGGGGGCCAGAGGAAUGGUCAUCGGACGGGGCGCAAGCCCCCGCACAGAAUCCGGCUUACAGGCCAUCCGCGCAA
rfam:Defluviimonas alba strain cai42, complete genome.